rnacentral:rRNA from 1 species
CAGUCGCCGCGGUAAUACGGGGGGGGCAAGUGUUAUUCGGAAUGACUGGGCGUAAAGGGCACGUAGGCGGUGAAAAGGGUGGAAAGUGAAAGUCGCCAAAACACUGGCGGGGUGCUUUCUUGACCAUUUCACUUGAGUGAGAUAGGGGAGAGUGGAAUUUCGUGUGGAGGGAUCAAAUCCUAAGAUAUACGAAGGAACGCCAACCGCGAAGGCAGCUCUCUGGGUCCCCACUGACGCUGGGGUGCGAAAGCAUGGGGAGCAAACAGGAUCAGAUACCCGAGUAGUCCCUGUCUCUUAUACA